CGUAAGAGGCCAAAUUGAUCGAUCCUCUAUAUUUGUUGGACUGUGGUUGCUUUGUUGGGUUUUGCGAUUGGCGUUCUUUGUUCCAUCGGAGAAGACCCUUUCCCCUCUUUUCUUUUCACAAGGUCUUUUAACAUGGCAUCAAGACACCGUGUUCACAGAGAACCCAUGAAUGGCAGAAGGGGGUAUCCGCCGGAUGGGCCUUAUGCUCGCGGGCCUCCGAUGCCGCGGCCCCCGCCUAUUCCGCCUCAUCCGGCUGUGCUGGAAGAGGAACUUGAGUUUCAGCAUGCUGAGAUGCGGAGGUUGGUGGCAGACAACAGGAGGUUGAUUGAUGACCGCAUGGCGUUGCAGCGAGACCUUGCGGCGGCGAAGGAGGAGCUUCAUCGCAUGAAUCUCGCAAUUGGUGACAUUCGCGCUGAGCACGAGGCGCAUUCGAGGGAUCUUGUUGAGAAAGGCAUGAAAAUGGAGGCUGACCUUAGGGCAAAUGAGCCCCUGAAGAAUGAAGUAAUGCAACUGCGGGCUGAAGUUCAGAAACUUAAUAAUCUCAAACAAGAGCUGACAGGGAAGGUUCAGACACUCACACAAGAUGUUGCAAGGUUACAAGCAGAUAAUCAACAGAUUCCUAUGAUGAGAGCUGAGAUGGAUGGCCUGCACCAAGAGCUAGUGCGAGCCAGAACCAUGGUGGAUUAUGAAAAGAAGGCAAACAUAGAGUUCAUGGAACAGAGGCAGUCCAUGGAAAAAAAUUUGGUUUCCAUGGCCCGGGAAGUUGAGAAAUUGCGAGCUGAGCUUGCUAGUUCUGAUGGAAGACAUUGGGGUGCUGGUAUGUCAGGUGGUCAAUAUGGAACAAAAUUUGGUAGUCCAGACGGUUUUCCAGCUCCGUAUACAGAUGGAUAUGGUGUUCACUUGGGUUCUGCAGAGAAAGGUCCUCUGUAUGGUGCGAGUGCUGCUACAAGAAAGGGACAUGAGAAGCCUCGCAUGAAUCGACGUUGAAAUUCAAGUAAUUACUGUUGAAGAUGAAGAAAGGCUUGCCAUCGCUUUGCCUUUUCUGUUAGCUGGAUGGCGGAGAUUGAGUUUGAUGUCCUACUGUGUAUGCAUGCAACACCAAUGGUCAUUUUAUCAAGAACGCUGGAUAUAUUUAAUCCUAAACUGGCAUGUAUGAAAAGCUGGGAAGCUUGUUUGGGACGGAGAAGUUGAGACAGCCCCAUGCAUAUUUGUUUUCAAGAAACACCAUUAGGUUCUUUAUUAUUUCAAAAUGCAAAAUCGGUUUAAGUUCUUAUCUGGAACAAAGAACCAUCUAUCACUGGUGGAUGGGUGUAUUUUUCCUGGUCGUGAUGGAUUGAGAUAAUGGUAUUAACACGCCUUUGUUGGGUUGGAUCAUCGUAUUAUUAGAUUGGAAAUGAAAGCAUGAAAGCUUUCGUGGUAAGCAUGGAUGGUUUCGCUCAAAUUUACAAAUGUUAGUUUGCUAGAUGGAUCAUGAGUCCAUGCUUAAGACGAUGCUUACCAUGUUUUAGGGAUGUCUCAGGUAUCUCUCUCAGGGAUGCCUCUUUUACACUUUUUCUUUUAUGUUCUCAUGAUUUUUUGCAUUAAAAGACAUUCAUGUUGCAAUGUGUAGAAUAGUUUCAAUGCCAACCUACUACACAUUGCGGACGACUUGGAUCAUUUUUCAUUGAUCAAAGUCUUAGGUUCUCAUCUUAUGAUCAAAGCUAGUCAACAGGGGAUGAGAGGCUAUUUAUGGUUGAUUGUAAUGCACUUGCUUGUGAUCGUGUGAUUGUGGUUUAGUUGUCAUUGAACUAGGUACCCGUUACUUGUUAGGGUUUUAUUAUUUUAAGGUUUAUAAAUGUGGUGGCUAAAUUAUCCAUUUGGUCUUGCAAAAUAUUGCCUGAAUGUUCCAUUUGGUGCCUAAUUUACUCUUUGUAAAUUGUUUUUUUUUUCUCUC